UGAUCCUGGCUCAAAUUGAACGCUGGCGGCAGGCCUAACACAUGCAAGUCGAGCGGUAGAGAAGCUUGCUUCUCAGAGCGGCGGACGGGUGAGUAAUGCCUAGGAAUCUGCCUGGUAGUGGGGGAUAACGUCCGGAAACGGACGCUAAUACCGCAUACGUCCUACGGGAGAAAGCAGUUCGUUGCGCUAUCAGAUGAGCCUAGGUCGGAUUAGCUAGUUGGUGGGGUAAUGGCUCACCAAGGCGACGAUCCGUAACUGGUCUGAGAGGAUGAUCAGUCACACUGGAACUGAGACACGGUCCAGACUCCUACGGGAGGCAGCAGUGGGGAAUAUUGGACAAUGGGCGAAAGCCUGAUCCAGCCAUGCCGCGUGUGUGAAGAAGGUCUUCGGAUUGUAAAGCACUUUAAGUUGGGAGGAAGGGCAGUAAUAAUUUGCUGUUUUGACGUUACCGACAGAAUAAGCACCGGCUAACUCUGUGCCAGCAGCCGCGGUAAUACAGAGGGUGCAAGCGUUAAUCGGAAUUACUGGGCGUAAAGCGCGCGUAG
rnacentral:rRNA from 1 species